UAUGUGAAAGACGGGAGCUUGGAGUAAGCCAGGCUGAGAGGGCGGAGCACUCUGCCGCCGACCGGUUAACCUGAUCUGGGUAAUGCCAGCGUAGGGAUGGGUUGGAACCGCUUC
rnacentral:ncRNA from 1 species